UCAAGAAACUUCCACAAUGGGCGAAAGCCUGAUGGAGCGACGUCGCGUGAUGGACGAAGUGCUUCGGCACGUAAACAUCUUUUAUGUGGGAUGAAAUUAUUGACAGUACCACAUGAAUAAGGGGCUCCUAACUCUGUGCCAGCAGGAGCGGUAAUACAGAGGCCCCAAGCGUUAUCCGGAAUCACUGGGCGUAAAGGGUGUCGAGGCGGUUGUAUUAGUCGUUCGUAAAAUCUACGAGCUUAACUUGUAGGCGGCGAACGAAACGGUACGACUUGAGGUUUGGAGAGGUGCGUGGAACUCACGGUGUAGCGGUGAAAUGCGUAGAUAUCAAGAGGAACACCUGAGGUGAAGACGGGUUGCUGGGCUGACACUGACGCUGAGGCGCGAAAGCCAGGGGAGCAAACGGGAUUAGAUACCCCCGUAGUCCCUGAGCGGGCUGGCAAGGCGCAU
rnacentral:rRNA from 1 species